rnacentral:rRNA from 1 species
GGUGAGUAACACGUGGGAACGUGCCUUUUGGUUCGGAACAACUGAGGGAAACUUCAGCUAAUACCGGAUAAGCCCUUACGGGGAAAGAUUUAUCGCCGAAAGAUCGGCCCGCGUCUGAUUAGCUAGUUGGUAGGGUAACGGCCUACCAAGGCGACGAUCAGUAGCUGGUCUGAGAGGAUGAUCAGCCACAUUGGGACUGAGACACGGCCCAAACUCCUACGGGAGGCAGCAGUGGGGAAUAUUGGACAAUGGGGGCAACCCUGAUCCAGCCAUGCCGCGUGAGUGAUGAAGGCCCUAGGGUUGUAAAGCUCUUUUGUGCGGGAAGAUAAUGACGGUACCGCANGAAUAAGCCCCGGCUAACUUCGUGCCAGCAGCCGCGGUAAUACGAAGGGGGCUAGCGUUGCUCGGAAUCACUGGGCGUAAAGGGUGCGUAGGCGGGUUUUUAAGUCAGAGGUGAAAUCCUGGAGCUCAACUCCAGAACUGCCUUUGAUACUGGGAAUCUUGAGUAUGGAAGAGGUGAGUGGAACUGCGAGUGUAGAGGUGAAAUUCGUAGAUAUUCGCAAGNNACCAGUGGCGAANGCGGCUCACUGGUCCAUAACUGACGCUGAGGCACGAAAGCGUGGGGAGCAAACAGGAUUANAUACNCUGGUAGUCCACGCC